rnacentral:rRNA from 1 species
CAAUAGCAUAUAUUAACGUUGUUGCAGUUGAAAAGCUCGUAGUUGAACUUUUGGUAGGAGCGACCUGGCCUUGGGCGCAUGCCCUUGUUUGCCGUGUGUCGUAUCUGGCCAUCCUUUUCCGUUUCGGCGGGAAUCUUUUACUGUGAGUAAACUGGAGUGCUCAAAACAAGACGUUUGUUUGGUACAUUAAAGCAUGGAAUAAUAAGAUAGGACCUGGUUACUAUUUUGUUGGUUUGCAUAGCUAGGUAAUGAUUAACAGGGACAGUUGGGGGUAUUCGUAUUUAAUUGUCAGAGGUGAAAUUCUUGGAUUUAUGAAAGACGAACGACUGCGAAAGCAUGUACCAAGGAUGUUUUCAUUAA